UUUACAUAGUGUCUUUCUGGGGCUUGUUAGCCAGGCCGUUGUGGAGAGAGCUGGGUCUGCUCUGGUGGACUGGAGUGCUUUUGGCAGUUGCCCACCCGAUUCGACUAGAUGUGGCUUAAUUAGGCUCAGACAAAACUUUGUAAACAUCUUAAGGUGCGUGUUCCUUAUCAGGAGCUGAAGCAGGGAAUGAAAGAUCACGAAGUAACCCAAGCAGAUGCUAUAUUGUCUGGGAUGCUGGUCUGGGAACCCUGAUCCUGCCCAUGGAGACACAAACGGCCCUCACUGUGGCUCCAGGGCCCCCACCCACACCAGGCAUUACACCAACACCGAAGGGUCAGGGCAGCACCUCAGUGUAAACCACAUUCCCUGUGGCCCAGCUCAGCGCUCCUGUUCCCAGACCAUUUGUUCACAAAUGCAAUCCUGUUUCCCGUGGCAUGAGAGCUUCACCUUGAGAGUGAG